AGAGUUUGAUCCUGCUCAGACGACGCUGGCGGCGUGCUUAACACAUGCAAGUCGAGCGAUGAAGCUCCUUCGGGAAGUGGAUUAGCGGCGGACGGGUGAGUAACACGUGGGUAACCUGCCUCAAAGAGGGGAAUAGCCCUCCGAAAGGAGGAUUAAUACCGCAUAAAGUUAGAGUUUCGCAUGAAACUUUAACCAAAGGAGUAAUCUGCUUUGAGAUGGGCCCGCGGCCCAUUAGCUAGUUGGUAAGGUAAUGGCUUACCAAGGCAACGAUGGGUAGCCGACCUGAGAGGGUGAUCGGCCACAUUGGAACUGAGACACGGUCCAGACUCCUACGGGAGGCAGCAGUGGGGAAUAUUGCGCAAUGGGGGAAACCCUGACGCAGCAACGCCGCGUGGGUGAUGAAGGUUUUCGGAUCGUAAAACCCUGUUUUCUGGGACGAUAAUGACGGUACCAGAUGAGAAAGCCACGGCUAACUACGUG
rnacentral:rRNA from 1 species